rnacentral:rRNA from 1 species
GACGAACGCUGGCGGCGUGCCUAAUACAUGCAAGUCGAGCGAAGCGGCGGUUGGGUGAGUAACGCGUGGGUAACCUGCCCUUAAGCCUGGGAUACCACUUGGAAACAGAUGCUAAUACCGGAUACUGAAGGAUGGACCUGCGAUGCAUUAGCUAGUUAGUAAGGUAACGGCUUACCAAGGCGAUGAUGCAUAGCCGGGUUGAGAGACUGAUCGGCCGCAUGGGGACUGAGCCCCGGCCCAAACUCCUACGGGAGGCAGCAGUAGGGAAUCUUCCGCAAGGGACGAAAGUCUGAUGGAGCAACGCCGCGUGAGUGAAGAAGGUUUUCGGAUCGUAAAGCUCUGUUGUUGGUGAAGCGGUAAUCAACCAGAAAGUCACGGCUAACUACGUGCCAGCAGCCGCGGUAAUAC